UGCAUGGAGAAAUUGCCUUCACAUGCCUCUGCUAAUGUGUACCUAGUUUAUACUAAGUGACCCAAAGGUUGAGGAGGCGGUGACUGUGGCGGUGGAGGAGGAUGAGGUAGCCAACACUAUAUAUACAGGGACCCUGAGAAACGGCUACCACAUACAAGGAAGGCAGAAGGCACGCAAAUGAUCCACUUCCGACGCUGGAAGGUAGUAACGACAAAUAAUACAGGACUCUUUAGAGCCCCUGUAAUUGUAACGAGUCCACUUGAAAUCCUUUAACUCUGAUCAAUUGGAGGGAAGUCUGGUGCAGAGCCACUGACCCGUGCGUGCUGCAGCUGAAACUCUGCUAUCGCCAAAAGCGCGCACAGCCGCUACAGUGAAUGUCACAUCCUGUUCCAA